rnacentral:tRNA from 1 species
GAGGGUAUAGCUCACGUGGUAGAGCGCAUGCUUAACAUGCAUGAGGUCCUGGGUUCGAUCCCCAGUACCUCCU